UAACACGAAAUCUUCUGUACUUUGUGGAGUCUCCCGAACUUGUUUUCGUAAUACGACGCCGUGAGCUCGUUUGAUAAAGAGAAGGGUGCCGAAAAAGCUUGUUGCAGCAACGUGCCGUAAGCAACAUAGAUUGUUUUCCAGCUGUCUCGGAUUGCUAACGCGCGCGCAGGCACAUAUGCUUUCGCCAAAGAGAGAAAAGAGGAUCGCACGAGUUUUGUUGUUGUUUUCUCGCCACCCUUUCCCAGCCGGCCUGGUGGCUUCGUGUUUUUCUGGAUCAACGCGAUCGCGUCCUCGAUCGAUCUUUUUGAGGAAAGGCGACAGAGCCUCGCAUGCAUGAGUUCGACGUCGUCGUCGAGCAGCGACGAAGUCGCCAAGGCCCAGAAUGCGACCGCGUCCGCCGGCAAGCCGACCAUAUUCUCGAAGAUCCUUGACGGCAGCAUACCGGCCGACGUAAUCUACAAGGACGACAAGUGCAUCGCCUUUCGAGAUGUGAACCCCCAGGCCCCUGUACACUUUCUGGUCAUCCCGAGGAAGCCACUGCCCAUGCUGGACUCGGCCACCGAUGAAGAUGUUCAGCUUCUGGGUCAUCUGAUGCUGACGGCCAAGAAGGUUGCGGCACAAGAAAAGCUUAAGGAAGGCUACAGGCUAGUGAUCAACAAUGGUAAGCAAGGCUGCCAGUCGGUCUACCACCUUCAUCUUCAUGUCCUUGGCGGCCGCCAGAUGGGCUGGCCACCAGGAUAACUGAACGAGACCGUGCCAAAGAAACAUGUUACAUUUUUGUCAUAAAUAAAUAAUAUGAAACCUUU
rnacentral:misc_RNA from 1 species